rnacentral:lncRNA from 1 species
CCAGCGCCGACCCCGGGCGGCGGCCACGGACCUGCGGCGCUGACUGCAGCUGCCCCUGGGCUGGACAACCCGGGACGCGCUGGCUGGAGGUGGGGGCGCAGCACAGGGUCCUGUUCCCCUGCCCCUACAGGCUCUCCCUGGCUGCUCUUUCUUUGCGUAAAAAUCCCUCCCCCAGCUCCGGCUUCUCUCCUAGCUUUUCCAGCCUCAGUCUCCUUGCACCUCAGCUCUAGCUUAGCACCCUAAAUUCUACCGCCUGCUCUUCCCGGCUCCCCGAUUCUCUCCUCAGCUCCACCUCUGCACCCCAGCUCCCCUUUGCCACAUCCUCAAGCCUCCACGAAGCUGGGGGACCCUUUUCUCACCUAUCCAUCAGCAGGAUGUACCCCCAGGGAAGGCACCCGACCCCGCUGCAGUCU